GUCGAACGCUUCUUUUUCCACCGGAGCUUGCUCCACCGGAAAAAAAAGAGUGGCGAACGGGUGAGUAACACGUGGGUAACCUGCCCAUCAGAAGGGGAUAACACUUGGAAACAGGUGCUAAUACCGUAUAACAAUCGAAACCGCAUGGUUUUGAUUUGAAAGGCGCUUUCGGGUGUCGCUGAUGGAUGGACCCGCGGUGCAUUAGCUAGUUGGUGAGGUAACGGCUCACCAAGGCCACGAUGCAUAGCCGACCUGAGAGGGUGAUCGGCCACAUUGGGACUGAGACACGGCCCAAACUCCUACGGGAGGCAGCAGUAGGGAAUCUUCGGCAAUGGACGAAAGUCUGACCGAGCAACGCCGCGUGAGUGAAGAAGGUUUUCGGAUCGUAAAACUCUGUUGUUAGAGAAGAACAAGGAUGAGAGUAACUGUUCAUCCCUUGACGGUAUCUAACCAGAAAGCCACGGCUAACUACGUGCCAGCAGCCGCGGUAAUACGUAGGUGGCAAGCGUUGUCCGGAUUUAUUGGGCGUAAAGCGAGCGCAGGCGGUUUCUUAAGUCUGAUGUGAAAGCCCCCGGCUCAACCGGGGAGGGUCAUUGGAAACUGGGAGACUUGAGUGCAGAAGAGGAGAGUGGAAUUCCAUGUGUAGCGGUGAAAUGCGUAGAUAUAUGGAGGAACACCAGUGGCGAAGGCGGCUCUCUGGUCUGUAACUGACGCUGAGGCUCGAAAGCGUGGGGAGCAAACAGGAUUAGAUACCCUGGUAGUCCACGCCGUAAACGAUGAGUGCUAAGUGUUGGA
rnacentral:rRNA from 1 species